rnacentral:rRNA from 1 species
GAUGAACGCUGGCGGCGUGCCUAAUACAUGCAAGUCGAGCGAACAGACGAGGAGCUUGCUCCUUUGACGUUAGCGGCGGACGGGUGAGUAACACGUGGGUAACCUACCUAUAAGACUGGGAUAACUUCGGGAAACCGGAGCUAAUACCGGAUAAUAUUUCGAACCGCAUGGUUCGAUAGUGAAAGAUGGCUUUGCUAUCACUUAUAGAUGGACCUGCGCCGUAUUAGCUAGUUGGUAAGGUAACGGCUUACCAAGGCAACGAUACGUAGCCGACCUGAGAGGGAGAUCGGCCACACUGGCACUGAGACACGGUCCAGACUCCUACGGGGGGCAGCAGUAGGGAAUCUUCCGCAAUGGGCGAAAGCCUGACGGAGCAACGCCGCGUGAGUGAUGAAGGUCUUCGGAUCGUAAAACUCUGUUAUUAGGGAAGAACAAACGUGUAAGUAACUGUGCACGUCUUGACGGUACCUAAUCAGAAAGCCACGGCUAACUACGUG